rnacentral:rRNA from 1 species
CGCCUGCCCUGUGACAAAUGUUUAACGGCCGCGGUAUUUUGACCGUGCAAAGGUAGCGCAAUCACUUGUCUUUUAAAUGAAGACCUGUAUGAAUGGCACGACGAGGGCCUAACUGUCUCCUUUUUCCAGUCAAUGAAAUUGAUCUUCCCGUGCAGAAGCGGGAAUAUAUUCAUAAGACGAGAAGACCCUAUGGAGCUUUAGACACAAGACAGAUCUUGUUAAACACUUCAAAAUAAAGAAACAAACUAAAAGAACCCUGCCCUUUUGUCUUUGGUUGGGGCGACCACGGGAAGACAAAUAACUCCCACGCGGACUGGGAAAACAGUUCUCACAACCAAGAGCUACAGCUCUAACUAACAGAAAUUCUGACCUCAAGAUCCGGCUAAUGCCGAUCAACGGACCGAGUUACCCUAGGGAUAACAGCGCAAUCCCCUUUUAGAGCCCAUAUCGACAAGGGGGUUUACGACCUCGAUGUUGGAUCAGGACAUCCUAAUGGUGCAGCAGCUAUUAAGGGUUCGUUUGUUCAACGAUUAAAGUCCU